rnacentral:rRNA from 1 species
CCUACGGGAGGCAGCAGUGAGGAAUAUUGGUCAAUGGACGAGAGUCUGAACCAGCCAAGUAGCGUGAGGGAUGAAGGUUCUAUGGAUCGUAAACCUCUUUUAUAAGGGAAUAAAGUGUGGGACGUGUCCUCUUUUGUAUGUACCUUAUGAAUAAGGAUCGGCUAACUCCGUGCCAGCAGCCGCGGUAAUACGGAGGAUCCGAGCGUUAUCCGGAUUUCUUGGGUUUAAAGGGUGCGUAGGCGGCCUUUUAAGUCAGCGGGGAAAGUCUGUGGCUCAACCAUAGAAUUGCCGUUGAAACUGGGGGGCUUGAGUAUGUGUGAGGCAGGCGGAAUGCGUGGUGUAGCGGUGAAAUGCUUAGAUAUCACGCAGAACCCCGAUUGCGAAGGCAGCCUGCCAAGCCAUGACUGACGCUGAUGCACGAAAGCGUGGGGAUCAAACAGGAUUAGAUACCCUUGUAGUC